rnacentral:rRNA from 1 species
GACGAACGCUGGCGGCGUGCUUAACACAUGCAAGUCGAACGGAAAGGCCCUGCUUUUGUGGGGUGCUCGAGUGGCGAACGGGUGAGUAACACGUGAGUAACCUGCCCUUGACUUUGGGAUAACUUCAGGAAACUGGGGCUAAUACCGGAUAGGAGCUCCUGCUGCAUGGUGGGGGUUGGAAAGUUUCGGCGGUUGGGGAUGGACUCGCGGCUUAUCAGCUUGUUGGUGGGGUAGUGGCUUACCAAGGCUUUGACGGGUAGCCGGCCUGAGAGGGUGACCGGCCACAUUGGGACUGAGAUACGGACCAGACUCCUACGGGAGGCAGCAGUGGGGAAUAUUGCACAAUGGGCGGAAGCCUGAUGAAGAAACGCCGCGUGCGGGAUGACGGCCUUCGGGGUGUAAACCGCUUUAGCCUGUGACGAAGCGUGAGUGACGGUAAUGGGUAAAGAAGCACCGGCUAACUACGUG